CCAUGAGGGAGAUGGUGGCAGUUCAACAGGAAAAUGGUAAGUUCACAUCAGUUAGCAUUUUGAACAAAUUAAUACUCCGUAUGCCAUCUUACCAUACAUUUCUUGUCUCUGCAAUGAGGCUGAGCGAGACUGUCCCAAAUGUGUUUUUAUCCUGAGUCUGAGGCAGGCUGAACUUUAAUCUGCAUGAUGUGCUGCAGCUUGCCAUCAUGUCGGGACAGCAGAUCCAGUCCCUUGAGUAAGCCAGUUGGUCACAGUUCAGGAGAGGCUGAGAUGAUCUGUGAUGAAAUGAUGGAUGAAAUGUGAAGAUCCCCAGCCAAUCCUUAGAGACAGGGG
rnacentral:lncRNA from 1 species